rnacentral:misc_RNA from 1 species
AACGCACAUUGCACUUCCUGGUAUUCCGGGAAGUAUGCCUUUUUCAGAAUUAUUGAAAAAAUCGCCCGCUUUGGAUUGUUUUCGUAACAAACUGGAGAUGGUGCCUGGAUUUGGGUUUUUGUUGCCAGCCUUUCGGCGGGGCGAAGACAAUCACCUGAAAAUGAUUUGCUUGUAUGUCAAUUGCGAUUGAUUGAUUGUCCAAAGUGCAACAGAUUUAUCUUUCCACUGUGGGCUUCAAUUUUUUUUUUGUGCGGUUGUACGUGCGUGCUAUCAAAUUGAACACGGGAUCAACAUCUGGAUGGAGGUUGUUUUCCAAGUACUUAAUCUGAAAUAAGGCAAGAAAACCCGCUGAACUUAA